UACGUAGGGUGCGAGCGUUGUCCGGAAUUAUUGGGCGUAAAGGGCUCGUAGGCGGUCUGUCGCGUCGGGAGUGAAAACUCAGGGCUUAACCCUGAGCCUGCUUCCGAUACGGGCAGACUAGAGGUAUGCAGGGGAGAAUGGAAUUCCUGGUGUAGCGGUGAAAUGCGCAGAUAUCGGGAGGAACACCAGUAGCGAAGGCGGCACUCUGGGCCGGUACUGACGCUGAGGAGCGAAAGCGUGGGGAGCGAACAGG
rnacentral:rRNA from 1 species